AUGAACCCCCAAAAUUACAUGCAAAGCUUUGAGGGGUAUGCGCAUUUUUCUGAUAUAAAUCUCUUUUACCAGAUUCUGUUCAGGAACCAUGACACAAAAGAUGAAAAACUACUGAGAUGCAGACAUUCAAGCAAAGGUCACAUUCCUGAUCACAGACAAACGGAGAGGGGGAGAGGGCUACUGUGUAUCAUCUCAAUAGAGAUGAGCAAGCUUUCUUAUAACCAGAAGUGGAAAAUGGAAAGAAAGAAGAAAACUUGGAGGAAGGCAAAGGGUGAAUAUUGAAUCAAUUGAAUGGAUUCAAUUCAAGGGGGAAUCAAUUUUGUAAAACGAAUUUUAUCUUAGUGACACUUUAGAGAACACUGUUACUAUAGAGAACAACUCAGUUUCUACAAGCCAAAAGAUCAUAACAAAGCAUUAGAAUGGACUUUAUUCAGGUUAUUUAAGGCAAGUUAGUUUGCUUUUAUUCAAAGGCUGCUGAAAUACUUACCAAGCAAGCAGACAAAGUGUGACAGCUAGAAUAAGGAGAAGAUUACUGUGAGUUCCUUUGCAUGAAGCUAUUUGGUGUUUCAGAAGAAAUUACAUUAAAGAAAGCAUCUGAUCAAACAUAUAAUUCUGUCAGUACAACAGAAGGAAUCUAAAAAAUAAUUUUAGUUCUUCUUAAACAGCCAGUUUUCAUGAUUUCAUAACCUUUGUCACACAGUCAGAAACUAACUUUAUUAGAAUAUAUUUAAGUUGUCAAACAUUUGCUGAAUACCUAUUAUUAGCAAGGUGCUGUACUAAGCUUUGCAGGGGAUACAACUAUGAAUAAGUAGUCCUUUCUUUAGAGAAGUCACAGAAUGCUGAGACUGACUCAUAUUUAUAAACAACUGUAAGUCAAAACAGAAACUAUUAAAUACUAUAAUAGUAAAAAAAAAAAUCCAGAAUGCUAUGGAAAUAGGAAUGAAGGCACCAUGUGGACUUGUAAAGCCUGAGAAAGGUCUCAUGAAGGAGGCAGAAUCUGAGCUGGGUUGCAAAGAAGGUGUAGAUGUUACCAGGUACAGAGACAGGGCAAGGUCAUUAGAGACCCAGCAUAUGGCAAGAGGGUGAGAGAAGGAAAUUAUAAAAUAUGUCCUGGGAACAGCAGGGACCAGUUUGGUUAGAACAAAUAUCUUGAGAUGGAGUAGAAGGCAGUACAUCCAGAAAAUUUUAUUAGUGUAAGAAUCUCAUGAGUUUGCAAUAGACAGUAAAAAAAUUAGACUAUUCCAUAGGCAUAGUCUAUGGGAGAAGGGAUUCUAUUAUUAAAAGUAAUAGCACAAAAGGAUAGAAAUUGGAGGCACAGAGGCCACUUAUGAGGUUACUACAAUAGUCCAAGUAGGUAGAAAUCUGGCACUGGGUGAAGAUAAAUGAGACUGAGCUAGCAAGAAUAUGUAUAAAGCCAGGUAUCAGCAUUAUUGGCAAGGUAAUGGUCUCCAAAGAAAGCUAGUUAGCAUCAUCCUCAAAGAUCUUCUUGGCACAAAUCCCAAUAUACAAAGUAGAAAAAAAAUACAAGAUAGAUGAUCCUCUAGAUGAAGAGCUUAGCAAUAUAGACUCCAAACCAGAGCAACCCAGUAGUGUUGCAUUUAAUCAUGGGGGUCAGUUGGAUGUACAGAGUGUUACACAAAAGUUUAUCUGAAACUGGAAAGGGUAAGAUUAAUCAGGUAGAUUAUCCACUGAUUAUAUUUGAUUAGUUUAUCCUUCAUGGAGAAUAAUUGUUUUAUCAAAAAAGUUAUUUAAUUGAAGAGCAUUUAAAGUAAUACCAAUUGCAAUUUGAAACUUUCUUGAACAAUUACUUGUGAAUUCAAGAAAUUGCUAUAAUGAAGGUUGAUAUAGUUUGGAUAUUUGCCCUUGCUCCAAUCUUGUUGAAUUGUAACCCCCAGUGUUGAAGUUGGGGUCUGGUGGGAGGUGUUUGGAUCAUGGGGGCAGACGUCUCAUGGCUUUGGUCUGUCUUCGUGAUACUGUGUUCUUAGGAGAUCUAGUCAUUUAAAAGUGUGUGGCACCUCCCCGUGACCUCUCACUCUCCCUUCACAUUUUGCCAUAAUUGUAAGCUUCCUGAGUCCUCCCUAGAAGUUGAGCAGAUGCCAGUACCAUGCUUUCUGUAAAGCCUGCAGAACUGUGAGCCAAUUAAACCUCUUGUCUUUAUAAAUUACCCAGUCUCUGGUAAUUAUAUCAAUGCGAGAAGAGUCUAACACAAAGGUCAAAAACUCAGGUUCAAAUCUUGCCUUUCAUCAGUUAACAGUGUAACCACGAACAGCUACUUAAACUUGGCAAUUGUUACUUUUCUGAUCUGGAAAACAUUGAUAAUAAUACCUAACUCAUUUGGUCAUUAGGAGGAUAGAGGAGACAAUGUAUAUAGAAACACCUG
rnacentral:lncRNA from 1 species